rnacentral:rRNA from 1 species
CGUGGGGGGCAGGCCUAACACAUGCAGUCGAGCGGCAGCGGAAGUAGCUUGCUACUUUGCCGGCGAGCGGCGGACGGGUGAGUAAUGUCUGGGAAACUGCCUGAUGGAGGGGGAUAACUACUGGAAACGGUAGCUAAUACCGCAUAACGUCGCAAGACCAAAGAGGGGGACCUUCGGGCCUCUUGCCAUCAGAUGUGCCCAGAUGGGAUUAGCUAGUAGGUGGGGUAACGGCUCACCUAGGCGACGAUCCCUAGCUGGUCUGAGAGGAUGACCAGCCACACUGGAACUGAGACACGGUCCAGACUCCUACGGGAGGCAGCAGUGGGGAAUAUUGCACAAUGGGCGCAAGCCUGAUGCAGCCAUGCCGCGUGUAUGAAGAAGGCCUUCGGGUUGUAAAGUACUUUCAGCGGGGAGGAAGGCGUUGAGGUUAAUAACCUCAGCGAUUGACGUUACCCGCAGAAGAAGCACCGGCUAACUCCGUGCCAGCAGCCGCGGUAAUACGGAGGGUGCAAGCGUUAAUCGGAAUUACUGGGCGUAAAGCGCACGCAGGCGGUCUGUCAAGUCGGAUGUGAAAUCCCCGGGCUCAACCUGGGAACUGCAUUCGAAACUGGCAGGCUAGAGUCUUGUAGAGGGGGGUAGAAUUCCAGGUGUAGCGGUGAAAUGCGUAGAGAUCUGGAGGAAUACCGGUGGCGAAGGCGGCCCCCUGGACAAAGACUGACGCUCAGGUGCGAAAGCGUGGGGAGCAAACAGGAUUAGAUACCCUGGUAGUCCACGCCGUAAACGAUGUCGACUUGGAGGUUGUGCCCUUGAGGCGUGGCUUCCGGAGCUAACGCGUUAAGUCGACCGCCUGGGGAGUACGGCCGCAAGGUUAAAACUCAAAUGAAUUGACGGGGGCCCGCACAAGCGGUGGAGCAUGUGGUUUAUUUCGAUGCAACGCGAAGAACCCUUACCUACUCUUGACAUCCAGAGAACUUUAGCAGAGAUGCUUUUGGUGCCUUUCGGGAACUCUGAGACAGGUGCUGCAUGGCUGUCGUCAGCUCGUGUUGUGAAUGUUGGGUUAAGUCCGCAACGAGCGCAACCCUUUAUUCCUUUUGUUGCCAGCUGUUCAGGCCGGGCACCUCAAGGAAGACUUGCCAGUGAUAACUGGAGGAAGGUGGGGAUGACGUCAGUCCUCAUGCCUUUACGAUUAGCUACCCACGUGCUAACAUGGGCGCCAUUCCAAGGAGAAGGCGAAUCCUCUCGCUGA